rnacentral:rRNA from 1 species
UUGCCUCAGUAACGGCGAGUGAAGCGGCAAAAGCUCAAAUUUGAAAUCUGGCACCUUCGGUGUCCGAGUUGUAAUUUGAAGAAGGUAACUUUGGAGUUGGCUCUUGUCUAUGUUCCUUGGAACAGGACGUCACAGAGGGUGAGAAUCCCGUGCGAUGAGAUGCCCAAUUCUAUGUAAAGUGCUUUCGAAGAGUCGAGUUGUUUGGGAAUGCAGCUCUAAGUGGGUGGUAAAUUCCAUCUAAAGCUAAAUAUUGGCGAGAGACCGAUAGCGAACAAGUACAGUGAUGGAAAGAUGAAAAGAACUUUGAAAAGAGAGUGAAAAAGUACGUGAAAUUGUUGAAAGGGAAGGGCUUGAGAUCAGACUUGGUAUUUUGCAAGCCUUACCUUCGUGGUGGGGUCCCCUGCAGUUUACUGGGCCAGCAUCGGUUUGGAUGGUAGGAUAAUGACUUGGGAAUGUGACUUUGCUUCGGUAAAGUGUUAUAGCCCUUGUUGAUACUGCCUGUCUAGACCGAGGACUGCGUCUUUGACUAGGAUGCUGGCAUAAUGAUCUUAAGUCGCCCGU